rnacentral:rRNA from 1 species
GUGGGGAAUUUUGGACAAUGGGGGCAACCCUGAUCCAGCCAUGCCGCGUGCGGGAAGAAGGCCUUCGGGUUGUAAACCGCUUUUGUCAGGGAAGAAAUCCUUUGGGUUAAUACCUCGGAGGGAUGACGGUACCUGAAGAAUAAGCACCGGCUAACUACGUGCCAGCAGCCGCGGUAAUACGUAGGGUGCGAGCGUUAAUCGGAAUUACUGGGCGUAAAGCGUGCGCAGGCGGUUUUGUAAGAUCGAUGUGAAAUCCCCGGGCUCAACCUGGGAACUGCAUUGGUGACUGCAAGGCUGGAGUGCGGCAGAGGGGGAUGGAAUUCCGCGUGUAGCAGUGAAAUGCGUAGAGAUGCGGAGGAACACCGAUGGCGAAGGCAGCCUCCUGGGAUAACACUGACGCUCAGGCACGAAAGCGUGGGGAGCAAACAGGAUUAGAUACCCUAGUAGUCC